GACGAACGCUGGCGGCGUGCUUAACACAUGCAAGUCGAACGGAAAGGCCCUGCUUUUGUGGGGUGCUCGAGUGGCGAACGGGUGAGUAACACGUGAGUAACCUGCCCUUGACUUUGGGAUAACUUCAGGAAACUGGGGCUAAUACCGGAUAGGAGCUCCUGCUGCAUGGUGGGGGUUGGAAAGUUUCGGCGGUUGGGGAUGGACUCGCGGCUUAUCAGCUUGUUGGUGGGGUAGUGGCUUACCAAGGCUUUGACGGGUAGCCGGCCUGAGAGGGUGACCGGCCACAUUGGGACUGAGAUACGGCCCAGACUCCUAUGGGAGGCAGCGGUGGGGAAUAUUGCACAAUGGGCGGAAGCCUGAUGCAGCAACGCCGCGUGCGGGAUGACGGCCUUCGGGUUGUAAACCGCAUUCGCCUGUGACGAAGCGUGAGUGACGGUAAUGGGUAAAGAAGCACCGGCUAACUACGUG
rnacentral:rRNA from 1 species